AACGCACCUUGCGCUCUUUGGUAUUCCGAAGAGCAUGCCUGUUUGAGUGUCAUGAAUAUAUCAAUCUCUUGACUUGUUAAUUCGAGUCGAGGGAUUGGACUUGGGAGCUUGCUGGCGAUCGUCAGCUCUCCUUGAAUGUAUUAGCUUGGACCUUACUACGAGGAUCCCCGGUGUGAUAAUUAUCUACGCCGUCGAAGCCUAGUAGCGCGUGUUACCCUGCUUUAUUGCGGUCGCCGUAACCGUGGGCUUUAUCGCCUGAGGCAUACAAGCUUAUAAUCGUCUUCGGACAACAUUUUUAUCAUCUGACCUCAAAUCAGGUAGGACUACCCGCUGAACUUAA
rnacentral:misc_RNA from 1 species